rnacentral:rRNA from 1 species
UACGAAGGGGGCUAGCGUUGCUCGGAAUCACUGGGCGUAAAGGGCGCGUAGGCGGCCGAUCAAGUCAGGGGGUGAAAGCCUGUGGCUCAACCACAGAAUGGCCUUUGAUACUGUUCGGCUCGAGACCGGAAGAGGUUGGUGGAACUGCGAGUGUAGAGGUGAAAUUCGUAGAUAUUCGCAAGAACACCAGUGGCGAAGGCGGCCAACUGGUCCGGUUCUGACGCUGAGGCGCGAAAGCGUGGGGAGCAAACAGG